UUUUUUUUUUUUUUUUCUCUCCCAUUUCCUCUUUUCCCAUCACGAUCCCAUUUCCUCUUUUCCCACCAUGGUCCCUUUCCUCUUUUCCUUGGGCAGAAUCGCCUCCCACUAUCCCAGGAUGCUCCAAGCCCUCUCCAACCUUUCCUUAAACCUUCCAGGGAUGGGGAAUGCACCGUCCUCUCUGGGUGGUGCCAGGAGCACCCUCUGGUGCUGCUGCACCAUCUCCUGGUGCUCAUCCCCAAACCAGCCCAGUCCUUGGCCAGGACGCUCCCGGAUGGAUUUCCAGGGACGUUUGGCGUGGGUGAGCCACACAAACGUAGCCUGAGCCCCUUUUUCCAGCGCUCCCCUUGCAGAGUUCCAUCCUUUUUUCCCGUUCCCAAGGCAAUUCCAAGGCCACACGGACGGGGCCAGCUGCAUAGACAUCUCCCACGACGGUACGAAGCUGUGGACGGGGGGCCUGGACAACACGGUGCGAUCCUGGGACCUGCGGGAAGGGCGGCAGCUGCAGCAGCACGACUUCACCUCCCAGUCCAAGGAAUCCUCGUCCGUGCUGAGCUGCGACAUCUCUGCGGAUGACAAAUACAUCGUCACGGGCUCUGGGGACAAGAAGGCCACGGUCUACGAGGUCAUCUACUGAGCCUGGGAAUUCCAGCCCUCGGGAACGCUCCGGGAACGCCCAGGGGAGGCCCCGGGCCCGGCCCAGCUCCGCCCGGCACCCGCCACACCUGGAUUUAUUUGGAGAUCUGCAGCAGCUCUGGCACACACGGAAGCCCUAAAAAGGAUUUUUAUUUGGUUUUAAGGUUUUUUGGGGGUUCCUUUUGAUUUUUUUUUUUUGUUGUUGUUGUUGUUUUCCGGUUCUUUCCGUCUGGCUUUGGUGGCACUAUAAAGGACUCCUUUUUUAUUGGGACUUCUAUUUUUUUUUGGUUUUUUUUUUUUGUGCAUCCCGCAUAAGACUUGUGAAAAAUGUAAAUACUGGACUAGGAAAUAGCGUGGGAAGGGGGGAACCCUCCCAGUACACUUAGUUGUGUAUUUUUGUCUGCUGUAAUUGUAUCCCACUGAUGGUUUUUGGUGGUGGCAAUUUUAUUCUGGGGGUUUUUUUUCGGUUGGUUUUAUUUUUAUUUUUAUUUUUUUUUGCGGGGGGGGUUCUAUUUUUUAUUUUUUUUUGCCCCCUUUUCCUUCCCCCUCCCUCCGGAAGCAUCCACGGGGACUUUGCCAUCCUGAGCAGAGAUGUCCAGUGGUGAAAAGUUGUUCCUCCUGUCGUGCGUCGUGUGUUAGUGAUGGUGGGGAAUCGCUGGGAUCCUCGGCUACUGACGGGACAUCGACACAACCACCUUGGGGUUUGUUUUUUAUAGAUGGAUUUAUGGAUUUAUCCUCAAUUUUUUUUUUUUGUUUUUGGGGGGGUUUUUUGGGGUUUUAUUUUUUUCUUUUUUUGGGUUGUUUUUUUUUUCCCAUGCUUGGAUGUUUGAAGAAAAGGGGAAGCCCACGCAAGCCCUUCUUGGUCUUCGGACAGAAGCAAAUGAGGAGUGAUUUCAAAGAAAGCUUAGAAAAUUCAGCUCAGGGAGCCACGAAAGAUAAUAGCAAACUUAUGUGUUUUGUAUUCAAAUGAAAGUAAAGAAUUAGAAUUGAUAACCUUGGAGAAAAAAAAAAAAAAAAAGAAAAAAAAGACAAAAAAAAGAAAAAAAUUACAAGUUUUUUUUUUUAAAAAAAAAGAAACAAAAAGUUUACUAACAAGUAGGGUUUGUGUGUGGUGGGGGGGCUGCUUGUGGUCCUUGUGGGCUUUAUGGUCUUGUGUCUUCUGGUUUUAUGGAGCAACUCCCUCCCCCCACAGGCCUUUUGUACUAAAGGGUUCCAAAAAGGACAAAAAAAAAAAAAACAAAACCCAAAAAAAAAAGACAAAAAAACAAAACAAAACAAACAAAAAAAAAAGACCUAAGGGGAAAAUAAAAGUAUUUGUGUAGCAGAAGUGCUCGCCUGU
ensembl:lncRNA